CAUUCGUCCCAGUUUGGUAGGGUAGCAACUGCAUAUGCAUGUAUAACAUAAUCUCAACUUUGCGAAAUUCCUACUCAUUCUUACACUUUUGGUUGACAGGUUCGCUCCAUUUUUCCAUAGAUCUCCAAAAAAUAUCCAGAGUUUUCUCAACACAGGUCAUCAUGUCAUUUAAGAAUCAAAUGGUCCGAGCAUUUAUGAGGGGAGAGAAACAGGGGAAUUCCUACACUAACGUUUUUGCCUCUGCGUUCGAAUCCAUGACGGAAGUUGGACAUAGGAGGGUGCCCCUUGUCCAGAGUAAGACCUUCAUGCAAAAAACCACGUCCAUCAGUGGAAAUAAAUCUCAAGAAAUAAGACAAAGCAUGUACGAGUACGAAUCUUGGUUUCGGAAUUGUUGGAGUGUAGGAUCAUUAGGAUGUCAUAUUUGACAAUAUUGCAAUUUUUAAAAGUCAACCUACCCACCCGAUGGAAAGACAAAACUACGUGGAAACAAGUGCAAUAAAAUUUGGGAAAUUUUUUUAGUUAUAAGAAUACAUGGCAAAAAUGUGGAAUUUUUUAAAAAUUGUUAUUGAACAAAGGAUGUAUUUAGUUUUGUAAUUUUACAUACAUAAAUAUGUAAAUCUCUGUGUAUGUAAGUAUAAAUUUUUUACGAUGAUAAGACUGAAAUGAGAUGGUGUUAAUGCAGAAAUAAACUUUACUAAAUAAACACACUCAUUCUUGUUCUAAUAAAGUCGUACAGAACUG